UUAGUUUAAUUAUGGCUAUAAGAAGCAUGUUUUAAAAAAUCACAUAGUUUAAUAUUUUUGAUAUAAUUAUUUAAAUAUAUAAUAGUUAUUACUAGUGAUGAGUAUUUUAUUUAAUAGGAAACUAUGUUAAAAUUUUAAAACUUAGUAGUGGAUAAGACACAGUGCCAGCAUCCGCGGUUAUUCUGUUGCUACAGCUUUUUGAAUAAAUUUUUAUUUUAAUUUUAUUUAUGUUUUGAAGGGUUAAAUCUUUUAAAAAAAGUAUAAUAUUAUUAAUUAAAUUUUUUAUUAAUAUAAAAUAGAAACAAGAAUUAGAUACUCUUUUAUUAUAUAUUAUAAUAUAUUUUUAGUAAAAACUAAAAUAAUUUGGCAGCUAAUUAAUCUUUUCUGGGGAUGGUGUGUUUUAAAAGAUGAUCCGCUUAUAAAAUAACCCUAUUUAUUUAGUUGGUGUACGUCCGGUUAUAAACUAAUAAUAAAAAUUAACUAUUAGUGAAUACUAUUUGUUUAAGCUAGGUCAAUGUGCUACUGAUAUUAGGGUUUGCAUUCCAUACAGUAAAAAACUAUUUAUGUAAAAAAUAAAUUAAGGACUAGUAAGUAAAUUAAAUUAAAUUGUUUAAUUGAAAUAAGUUUAAUUAGGGUACAUACCGCCCGUCAAUCUCGGCGUAAGCUGAGAUAAGUCGUAACAUGGUAACCCUAAAGGAAUUUGGGGUUAGUAAAUUAU
rnacentral:rRNA from 1 species